AGGUGGUUGCCCCAAUGAGAGCCCUUGGAAGGAGCAGACCGACUGAACCCUCGUGACACGCCACUCACUGGCUGAUGCACUAUGCCCUGUUGUCUCAUCUUGGUCAUUGAUAUCCUUAGGGCUGCCUUUUUUGAAAACCACUAUACGCUGUAAUCCCAAAGAUAAGGAACCGUUCCAGUGAAACACAAAUUGAUUAACACAAAGCGGCUUUAUUUAUAGGAUUACACACAGCAGAGAAGUUCCAACAUUAUCUGAAGAAAUGGGAUCAUGAGUCAUCAUUUUUUUCCCAUACUGUUCUGGUAACAGUAUACUUUGGUUCUUUUUCAGCCUGAAAGCAAAAUUCACUCCAUGAGGAGUUAACAUUAUGAAUGUACAUGCUUUUUUUCCCCUUGCUAUUUUCUAGAGCACCAACAAGAAAAACACACUACAGUGGGCACCUCCCACUAAAUAUAUCCAGAUUUGGUCUAUGUCACUCCAUUCAUGUAUAAUGAUUUAAUAUAUCUACUUAAGACACAAGCUGAUUCUGAUUCCUCUGAAUCAUUUUAAGAAAGUGUUUAUCCUUCUCCAUGAACUAGUAAAGUAGCCUAGGCAGACUACUUAGAUAACUUAGCAACAUCCACUAGGUUUUUGACUUAUCCUCAGAGGUGAAUCAACAUGAUUUCUGCAAGGAAGUGUCUGAAACAUGCAUGAUUUUUUAGUCUGUAUAAUCUAUGUCCUGAUUUACAAGAGAGAAGUGAAGAGGAAUAGAGGACAACAGUCAAAAAGUGCUGCAGACACAUAACCAGUCCUUUCAAAAUGUAAUAGUAAUGAUUCAUCAUUGUGCUUAUUUGCACUGUUUUGAACCUACAAGCCUUUCUAAGUUUCACAUUGACAUUUGCUGUCUGAUGUAUCCCAUGAAAUGUGUUCAUUCAUUCAAGUAGUGAUCAUACUUUUCUGUACUCUUAAGCAAAUCAGACUGCAUAUUAUUUCUUCCAGUCAUGAAAGGUUUAUAUCUCUCCACAACUGCCAGGAAAAUUCUUUCCAGACUCUUUCCUUUUUAUCAGUCCAACAACACAUUAACGGAAUUAGUUCUCUCUAAAUAAAAUUUUCAUGCCUCAUUCUAGCCAAAAUCAUCCUCAGACAUUGUCCUAUUUGUUUAAUUACACUUACCUGAACUGAUGCUUCCCAGAAGAUCAAUUACAUUUUUUUUAAAAUAAUCUGAGUGUUUCCAUGACACAGGAACAACAUCAGUGUCAUUGCACAUAUGGGAAACUAAGGAGGAAGAAGGCAAAAAGUAAUUAAGGAGAUUAAUGUUGGAAUGAACAACUAAGGAGAAGAAACAACAGCAAGUGUUCUGAAGCAGCUAAACUAAUGAUUUUCUCGUAUCCCUCCAGAACAAUAAUUCCUUUCCACAUUCCUGUGACUUUCACUGUUUUGGAAUAACCUGUCAAAUCCUUAUAACCUACUCCCACAAUAUCAUCAAUUUCCCCUUCUCUCCUAGCCUUGUGGUAUGCUCAUUACUUUUUUUCUGCAGCGUAAGAGGCUGGUCAAGACUUCACCUCUUGAAAACAUGCUGAUUUGCACUAUCACUUAAAUAGCUUACUAUGGUUCCUGAUUCCAUCUACAUUCCAACAGAUGGAUGCACCAACGUGGGAAUCUCUCCUCUGACUAAGCACCAUUUUGUGUAAUAUUUGCUGAAACAAAGUCACUUCCAAAACUGUCUUCUCUAUCAUACUUGGCUGAAGUUUGCCUAACAGUUCAAAAGUAGAUGAGGAAAAUAGACAUGAACAGUCAUAAAGUCUCAUCAGCUCAUCUCUUUAAAAAAAUGGUCUCAAAAAGUGCUCACAAAGCUCUGUUUCUACAGACAGUUUUCAAGUAGCCAGUUUCCAUCUAUCAGAACUGUAGGUUUAGCAAUGAUUCUG
ensembl:lncRNA